rnacentral:lncRNA from 1 species
CAUAACCAUAUAUUCUCCUUCUCAUUGAUAUCCAGAUAGGUUACAAACUGCUUUUCAUUCAGAUAUUUUUUUAAUGAGAUGAAAAUCAAAAGGUUUAAAUAUGGAGAAUAUGAUGACUGCCAAAGAAUUGUGAAAUUACAUUCAUCCAAUAUCUCAAAUUUUUCAGCAAUAUGUGGAGAUUGCAUUAUUAUGAAGAAAAGGAGAAAAGUAGAUGAUCAUUUAUCUAAACAGCUAAACAAUGAACAACUAAGGGUCAUUGUUCAGAUUAGUAUGGAUCUUUCUGGCUGAUUUGUGAUCCAAAGAUGACAAGAGCCUUUUGUCCAUUAUUUAAUGCAUUUUCAUCAUUUGUGAUUUUUGUUAUGAUAUUUCCAUUGAAUAAAAGAAUUUUCAAUCAUAUAUGAUUGUGUUAGCAUUGUUUAUUUUGUAUGAUAAUUCAUCAAAAUCUCUUUUUCAUUUUUUUAAUGAAA